GAUGAAGAACGCAGCGAAAUGCGAUAAGUAGUGUGAAUUGCAGAAUUCAGUGAAUCAUCGAAUCUUUGAACGCACAUUGCGCCCGCCAGUAUUCUGGCGGGCAUGCCUGUUCGAGCGUCAUUUCAACCCUCAAGCCCCCGGGUUUGGUGUUGGGGAUCGGGCUGUACUCCAGCCCGGCCCCGAAAUCUAGUGGCGGUCUCGCUGCAGCCUCCAUUGCGUAGUAGCUAACACCUCGCAACUGGAACGCGGCGCGGCCAAGCCGUUAAACCCCCAACUUCUGAAUGUUGACCUCGGAUCAGGUAGGAAUACCCGCUGAACUUAAGCAUAUCAAUAAGCGGAGGA
rnacentral:misc_RNA from 1 species